rnacentral:rRNA from 1 species
CACGUAGGGGGCGAGCGUUGUCCGGAAUCAUUGGGCGUAAAGAGCUCGUAGGCGGCUCGGUAAGUCGGGUGUGAAACCCCCAGGCUCAACCUGGGGACGCCACCCGAUACUGCUGUGGCUAGAGUCCAGUAGGGGAGUGUGGAAUUCCUGGUGUAGCGGUGAAAUGCGCAGAUAUCGGGAGGAACACCAGCGGCGAAGGCGGCACUCUGGGCUGGAACUGACGCUGAGGAGCGAAAGCGUGGGUAGCAAACAGG